rfam:Cucumis melo, WGS project CAJI01000000 data, contig: 02026
GUCUCUUCAUGGACAUCCAAUAAAAUUAGAACGAUCCUGAGAAGAUUAGCAUGGUCCCUGCAGAAAGAUGACACGCACAAAUCGAGAAAUGGUCCAAAUUUAA